GGAAAUUCCCUCUGAAACUGCCAGCCAUGAACUGUGUUUUCUGUUGAUCUUUUCCCUCUGAAUAUUGACAACAUUAUAAUGAGGAUUCAGCAAAGGGUUCCUAUUGCUGUGAUAAACAACAAUGUGACCACAAGCAAUAUGUGGGGUGAAGGAUUUGAAAAAGUGGGGUUAUCCCAGAAAGAGAAAUAAAGAGACGAAGAAAGAAAGGAAAGGAAGAAAGCAUGAACGGAAUGGAGGAGGAGAGACCAAUGUGGAAACAAAGAGCUUUCUUUGUCCCCAUUCAAGAUCAUGUGAAGGAAGGAGAAAACUGGCUUCCUGGAUUUGGAUUCUGACCUGCUAACAGCCUUCGUCCAACAGCUGGUGAACAUAGAAGCAGACACCCACAAGUAAUCACUGAAUUGAAUUGGAAUCCAGUCGCAGAGAAGGACGAGUGAAGGAGUGAAGAGCAAAGAGGUCCAGACCAGGCUGGUGAACCCACAGAAACAGCU